rnacentral:misc_RNA from 1 species
UUUCCGUAGGUGAACCUGCGGAAGGAUCAUUCAUAAUAAAGUGUUUUAUGGCACUUUUUAGAAAUCCAUAUCCACCUUGCGUGCACUGUUAGAUCUCGUCAAUCUUGGCGAGAUUUUUAUACAUCAACUCAUUCUUUAACUAAUUUGUCUGAAAAAUAUUAUGAAUACUUAAUUCAAAAUACAACUUUCAACAACGGAUCUCUUGGCUCUC